UACAGAGGUCUCAAGCGUUGUUCGGAUUCAUUGGGCGUAAAGGGUGCGUAGGCGGCGAGGUUAGUCGGAUGUGAAAUCCCACGGCUCAACCCUGGAACUGCAUUCGAUACUGCCUUGCUAGAGUACUGGAGAGGAGACUGGAAUUUACGGUGUAGCAGUGAAAUGCGUAGAUAUCGUAAGGAAGACCAGUGGCGAAGGCGAGUCUCUGGACAGUUACUGACGCUGAGGCACGAAGGCCAGGGGAGCAAACGGG
rnacentral:rRNA from 1 species